AAUUUGGCCGUUUUCCGUGUUUCGCGUUUAGGGUUUAUGUUUUAGGGCUUUACGGUUUUAGAAUUUUAGGGUUUUUAGGGUUUAGGGUUUUAGAGUUUUUUUAGAGUGCUCGCAAAAUAAUUUCAUUAGUCAUUUCAUGUAGGGAAAAUAUUAAAUAAAAUUAGUUAAAAGGGGCAAAUUAUUAUUUUUGAGUAAAUUUUUUUAUUUAUCUGUAUUAACUAGACGUUUUUAAACGAACGUCAGCAGAGGAUGUUUAUAAUACAAUUUAUGGAUUUUGAGGACCAACACUUAUAUUAACAACUUUGAAGGGGGAUUUGUGAUAUUUUUAAAGUUUUGAAGUGCAUGUUUGAGUUUGCCCCUUUUUUACUUUGGGAAUGAAAUCACAAAAAAGCCAUUAUUAUUUUUCCUUAUUUCAAUUUGACCACUAACUCAAAACUUGAUGAAUACUUUUUUGGCUAAAUUAUAGAAAACCUCCAUACAAAUAUUCAUCCUGACUUUCAAAACCUAUAUUUUUUUUCUUAAAAUUUUAAUAGAGAUAGUAAAAUGAUCAAAUCGCCCUUAUUUCUUCUAUAAGAAAAAAUAAUUUUUUAAUAUAUUUCUGCCAUUUUGAGGGAGCAUUUUUGAUAUAAAUUAUAAGAACUGAACGUAAUAGUGAUGAACCCUGACGUUUGGGGGCUAAAUGUAAACAACUUGAAAUGUUAAGGAGAUAAAAUAUAGAUUUUUGAAAGUUAAGAAGGAAGAGUGAAAAAAGCGGAUGUUUAUAAGGGGCUUUUUUAUAAUUUAGUCAAACUUUUUUUCAAGGCUAACAAUUUUGACUAGAUGGGUCAUUUUAUAUUAAAUAAAAAUUUGUGGGUCAAAUUGUAAUUUUUUCACUACAUGCAACGCAUUUUACAAGCAAUCCCAAAUAUAGCUUGGAGAUUUAAAAAAAAAAAAAAUUGGAGCAAAGUGAUUCAAACUCUACUCCUGAGGUAUAAAAAAUAUUACUAAUAUAUAUCUAUACUAUAUAUAAAAGUACGUAUAUUCAAAUUUGGUUCUCUCGACAGACCCAUUUUUCGGCGGAAAAAUUAGUGCCCAUUUUUCUCUUUCCGUACGAAAAAUUUUAAAUAUAAGAAUAAAAAUCUUUUCGUACGAAAAAAUUUAAAUAUAAGAAUAAAAAUAGAAACAACAAUGAAUACGUUAGUUUUCUAUAACUGAUGUGAAAAUCCUAAAAUAUAAAUUUUUCUAUUUAAUUUCAAAAGUAAGUUCUCUAUAACAGAUUACAGGUGUGAAAAUUCUAUAAAAGAUAUUUUUCUAUUUUAUUUUAAAAUAUCUUUUUUUAGAUGUUAUCUAUUUAAUUUCAAAAUAUAUUUUCUUUUUAAGAUAACGGAUUUUAUUUUUCUAUU
rnacentral:lncRNA from 1 species